CCAGUGCGUUACGAGUGGUGUGACAGUCACACCCGGCAACCUGGCUCGGUCGCCAAGGUGCCUGCUGACCCGGAAACGGGUUGGGACGCGGCUUCUGAAAGGAGCAACGAAUGACCGGUUU
rnacentral:ncRNA from 1 species